rnacentral:rRNA from 1 species
CCCUUAGAUGUCCUGGGCCGCACGCGUGCUACACUGACGCCUACAGCGAGUACUUCCCAGCCCCGAGAGGUGGCUGGUAAUCAGCAAUAGGCGUCGUGAUGGGGAUAGAUCUUUGGAAUUAUGGAUCUUGAACGAGGAAUGCCUAGUAAGCGCAGGUCAUUAGCCUGCGCUGAUUAAGUCCCUGCCCUUUGUACACACCGCCCGUCGCUCCUACCGAUUUCGAGUGGUCCGGUGAAUCUUUCGGACUGCGCGCGGCCUCGUGCCGUGUCGCGGAAAGUCAGGUAAACCUUAUCACUUAGAGGAAGGAGANGUCGUNACA